rnacentral:rRNA from 1 species
GACGAACGCUGGCGGCGUGCCUAAUACAUGCAAGUAGAACGCUGAAGGAGGAGCUUGCUCUUCUGGAUGAGUUGCGAACGGGUGAGUAACGCGUAGGUAACCUGCCUGGUAGCGGGGGAUAACUAGUGGAAACGAUAGCUAAUACCGCAUAAGAGUAGAUGUUGCAUGACAUUUGCUUAAAAGGUGCAAUUGCAUCACUACCAGAUGGACCUGCGUUGUAUUAGCUAGUUGGUGGGGUAACGGCUCACCAAGGCGACGAUACAUAGCCGACCUGAGAGGGUGAUCGGCCACACUGGGACUGAGACACGGCCCAGACUCCUACGGGAGGCAGCAGUAGGGAAUCUUCGGCAAUGGACGGAAGUCUGACCGAGCAACGCCGCGUGAGUGAAGAAGGUUGUCGGAUCGUAAAGCUCUGUUGUAAGAGAAGAACGAGUGUGAGAGUGGAAAGUUCACACUGUGACGGUAUCUUACCAGAAAGGGACGGCUAACUACGUG